UACGAAGGGGGCUAGCGUUGCUCGGAAUCACUGGGCGUAAAGCGCACGUAGGCGGAUCUUUAAGUCAGGGGUGAAAUCCUGGAGCUCAACUCCAGAACUGCCUUUGAUACUGGGGAUCUCGAGUCCGGAAGAGGUAAGUGGAACUCCGAGUGUAGAGGUGAAAUUCGUAGAUAUUCGGAAGAACACCAGUGGCGAAGGCGGCUUACUGGUCCGGUACUGACGCUGAGGUGCGAAAGCGUGGGGAGCAAACGGG
rnacentral:rRNA from 1 species